AACGAACGCUGGCGGCGUGCCUAACACAUGCAAGUCGAACGAGAAAGUUUCCUUCGGGAAACCAGUAAAGUGGCGCAAGGGUGAGUAACACGUGAAUAAUCUGUCUACGAAUUCGGGAUAACUCGACGAAAGUUGUGCUAAUACCGGAUAAGACCACACUUCUUGUGGAGCGUGGCUAAAGGAGUCUCAAACUCCGUUUGUAGAUGAGUUCGCGGACCAUUAGCUUGUUGGCGGGAUAACAGCCCACCAAGGCGACGAUGGUUAGCCGGCCUGAGAGGGUGAUCGGUCACACUGGAACUGAGACACGGUCCAGACUCCUACGGGAGGCAGCAGUGGGGAAUAUUGCGCAAUGGGCGAAAGCCUGACGCAGCAAACGCCCGUGUGAGGGAUG
rnacentral:rRNA from 1 species